rnacentral:tRNA from 2 species
GAGAAGGUGGCUGAGUGGUUUAAGGCGGCAGACUGUAAAUCUGUUAGGUAAUUCCUAUCGCAGGUUCGAAUCCUGUUCUUCUCA